rnacentral:rRNA from 1 species
CGGAGGAAGAGAAAGAAAAUUCGAUUCCCUUAGUAGCGGCGAGCGAAACGGGAAGAGCCCAAACCAACAAGCUUGCUUGUUGGGGUUGUAGGACACUCUAUACGGAGUUACAAAGGACGACAUUAGACGAAUCAUCUGGAAAGAUGAAUCAAAGAAGGUAAUAAUCCUGUAGUCGAAAAUGUUGUCUCUCUUGAGUGGAUCCUGAGUACGACGGAGCACGUGAAAUUCCGUCGGAAUCUGGGAGGACCAUCUCCUAAGGCUAAAUACUCUCUAGUGACCGAUAGUGAACCAGUACCGUGAGGGAAAGGUGAAAAGCACCCCGGAAGGGGAGUGAAAUAGAACCUGAAACCGUGUGCUUACAAGUAGUCAGAGCCCGUUAAUGGGUGAUGGCGUGCCUUUUGUAGAAUGAACCGGCGAGUUACGAUUUGAUGCAAGGUUAAGCAGUAAAUGUGGAGCCGUAGCGAAAGCGAGUCUGAAUAGGGCGUUUAGUAUUUGGUCGUAGACCCGAAACCAGGUGAUCUACCCUUGGUCAGGUUGAAGUUCAGGUAACACUGAAUGGAGGACCGAACCGACUUACGUUGAAAAGUGAGCGGAUGAACUGAGGGUAGCGGAGAAA